rnacentral:rRNA from 1 species
GAUGGACGCUAGCUACAGGCUUAACACAUGCAAGUCGAGGGGAAACGAUAUUGGAAGCUUGCUUCCGAUAGGCGUCGACCGGCGCACGGGUGAGUAACGCGUAUCCAACCUGCCCACCACUUGGGGAUAACCUUGCGAAAGUAAGACUAAUACCCAAUGAUAUCUCUAGAAGACAUCUGAAGGAGAUUAAAGAUUCAUCGGUGAUGGAUGGGGAUGCGUCUGAUUAGCUUGUUGGCGGGGUAACGGCCCACCAAGGCGACGAUCAGUAGGGGUUCUGAGAGGAAGGUCCCCCACAUUGGAACUGAGACACGGUCCAAACUCCUACGGGAGGCAGCAGUGAGGAAUAUUGGUCAAUGGGCGAGAGCCUGAACCAGCCAAGUAGCGUGCAGGAUGACGGCCCUAUGGGUUGUAAACUGCUUUUAUAAGGGAAUAGAGUGAGUGUCGUGAGACUUUUUGCAUGUACCUUAUGAAUAAGGACCGGCUAAUUCCGUGCCAGCCGCCGCAGUAA